CCUGGCGCUCUGGCCCACCCGCGGAGGUCGCCGUGGUCACCUGUGAGGCCUGCUCGUCCACUCCACCGUGGGACCUGGGGUUACUGGGGUCCGCCUCGGCCGGGUAGGGCCGGAGACUGAGGAGAACCUGACCCAAACCCACCGAGCUCGCGGGGAGCCUCCGAGGCCUUCGAAGGCGGUGCCGGGAGUCGAGGACACUGAUGUGGUCUGGACCCACUGAUGCAUGGUGGCCAGAGCAGGGGCCACAACUUGAGUGACACACACAGGAUCUGAUGCUCUGAAGACCACAAGAUCCAGGGACAAAGGUGUGAAAACAAGGCAGUGGCUCAGAAAGCAGCGAUGGAAGGACUCUCGAGCGUGGCCACCCCCCAGGGCCCCGAGGUGGGGGAAUCCCGGGAACAAGAGGGUCGGUUCAAGGACCGGCAGGAGAACCAGAAAAGCUGUUUGAAGCAAGAGGCCACGGCCCCCGGGGAAGAGCCCGCCAGGGACGGUGUGCAGGAGCCGGGCGAGCUCGGCGGGGUGCCGGGAACCGGCCGGAGUCCUCCCCUGCCCCAAGCCGGCGGCCGGCCCCGGAGGCGCGGCGCGCCCAGGAAGAACCCGAAGCAGAAGAGGGCAGGCUCCGGCGAGGAGGAGCGAGGAGGGGGCGGCCCCCGGAAGCCGUGGACGUGCGGGGACUGCGGCAAGGCCUUCAGCUACUGCUCGGCCUUCACCCUGCACCAGAGAACCCACACCGGCGAGAGGCCGUUCGCGUGCGCCGACUGCGGCAAGGCCUUCAGCCAGAGCGUCCACCUGACGCUCCACCGGCGCACGCACACGGGCGAGCGGCCGUACGCGUGCCCCGAGUGCGGCAAGGCCUUCAGCCAGGGCUCCUACCUGGCGUCGCACUGGCGCACGCACACGGGCGAGCGGCCGCACCGCUGCGCAGACUGCGGCAAGGCCUUCGCGCGCCCCACGCACCUGGCGCAGCACCGGCGCGUGCACACGGGCGAGCGGCCGUACGCGUGUGGCCAGUGCGCCAAGGCCUUCCGCAACCGCUCGUCCCUGCUGGAGCACCAGCGCGUGCACACGGGCGAGAAGCCGUACGCGUGCGCGCGCUGCCAGAAGGCCUUCCGCUUCUCCUCGGCGCUCAUCCGCCACCGGCGCACGCACACGGCCGAGCGGCCGUACGCCUGCGGCCAGUGCGCCAAGGCCUUCACGCAGCUCGCGCACCUGGCGCAGCACCGGCGCGUGCACACGGGCGAGAAGCCGUACGCGUGCCCCGAGUGCGGCGCGCCUUUCAGCCAGAGCGCCUCGCUGGCCGAGCACCGGCGCAUCCACACGGGCGAGAAGCCGUACGCGUGCGCGCAGUGCGGCAAGGCCUUCACGCAGGUGUCGCACCUGGCGCAGCACCGCCGCGUGCACACCGGUGAGCGGCCGUACGCGUGCGCCGACUGUGGCCGCGCCUUCAGCAACCGCUCGCACCUGGCGCAGCACCGCCUCGUACAUACGGGCGCGCGGCCCUACCGGUGCCCGGAGUGCGGGGCGGCCUUCGGGCACGUGUCGUCCCUCCUCGAGCACCAGAAGAUCCACACGGGCGAGAAGCCCUACCGCUGCGGGGACUGCGGCAAGGCCUUCAGCCAGGGCUCGUCGCUGACGCUGCACCGGCGCACGCACACGGGCGAGCGGCCCUACGCGUGCCCCGAGUGCGGCAAGGCCUUCAGCAACCGCUCCUACCUGAUCCAGCACCACAUCGUGCACACGGGCGAGAAGCCCUACGAGUGCGGCGGCUGCGGCAAGGCCUUCAGCUUCUCCUCCGCGCUCAUUCGGCACCAGCGGACGCACGCCGACGGGAGGCCCUGUCCGCGCGCCCGCUGCGGCCACCCCGCCACCCCCGCUGCCGCACCCGACGGGGCCCCCGGGCUCCCCCCGGGAGGAGGAGCCAGGCGGCGGCAGCGACCCCAAACAGAGUGCCACAGACCGGCAGAAGGACGAGCUGAUGCCUAACGGGGACCUCUGACCCGGCACCGCGCCCGGCACUGUUCCACCCCGCUUCCGAACGCUCGGCACCAAGGGGAGGCACCUUCUCCUCCCCGACUCGUCCGUGAGAAAACUGAGGCUCAGGGAGGCCCGGGGACUUGCCCAAGGUCACACAGGGAGGAGGUCACAGGGCCGGGACUGGACUCCGCAUCUGCCGGACUGCCCCUCCUCCCAACACACACAUUCUGCCUCCUGGUUCGGAACUAUAAAUGCGACCCACGAAAGUAGACCCAAAGAAGUGUCUGUGCGUCUCUAGCUAGCCUUUGAAUGGUCGAAGAUUUGAUGAUCACGUAGGCAUUUGUUCAAUAAAUUUAAUUGGAUAAAAGGCUCGUCUCCUUUCAAGUUGGCAUAUUGACUAAGGAAGCGGGGUCUGAAGAAGUAUGGAUCCUAGGACUGAAACAGCGGUUCCAAAAUUAGAACGAGCCAGAGACAUCCAGAGAAGGAAAAGCUCUAGAAGAGACUUGCCUCUCCCCUGACCUGCAAAGGGUGGUGAUACAGGCGCUGAAGACCAGGAGAAUCACCUGCGGAGGUAAGUGUUAUUUGGGGACGGUGGGGGAAGAUGUGGGAGCCGAGCACUGCAGGUGAGGGAGCCACGUGAGCGUCUGGGGGAAGAGCAUUACAGGCAGAGGUCCAUUCCACAGUCCGUGCCAAGGUCCCGAGGCAGGCACGUGGCAGGCACGUGAUGGGCUUGUUCAAACAGCAAAGGCCGCGCGCCUGGAAUGGAGGGUGCGAGCGCGAGCCCUUACUGCAGGGAUGGACGGCCACUGUGAGGACUUUGGCUUUUACCUGCUGAAGUGGGUGGAUUGUGAAUGGUCUUAAUUAUGGUGUCAUGGGAUGUAUCUGGCUGUCGAAUGGAGAAGAGACCAUCAGGGGUGCGAGUCGAUAUUUCUGUCAUCAAUGAAAUGUGGUUCCUGGCACGUGAUAGAACCCAAAUGAAGGGCCAUUGCUUUUAUGGUUUAUAUUAUCAUGACUGUUUGCAAUAUCCCACAAAUUUAAGGCACGUGGCACGGUCUGAGCGAAUCUCAGCCCACAGCCCCCACAGCAGCCCCCCCGUUCGGGACAUCUGGCACGGUCCCCGCAGGCAUCUCCCGGUUUCUACCUUUGCCCUGCUGCAGUCCAUUAUGCUCUGCCCACUCCUGGGACAGCUAGUUCCUGCCUCCAGCUGCUGUUCUCUCCCUUAUUUCAAGAUUCCAGUUCCUGUGGCAGGGAAGGGCUGGGAGGUGAGGGUGUGAGGAGAAUCUAUCUCGUGUCCCCCACUGUGCCACGUAGAACAGGGUGGUGGUGGUAGCCAUCCUCCCAGCUGAGUGGAGAAAAAGAAGGUCACCCCUGCAAGGGAGUGGAACUCUGAGGUCAGUGGAGAGGAAAGGUCCCAGUGAUAUUUUUAGGCCCCGGGAACCAGCUAUAAAUUGAGCCAAUUUCAUCCCAGGCUUUGGUGUAACAUGAAUCAGUAAUUGAUCAUUAACAAACUUAAGCUCCUUUGAAUCGGCUGCUGUUACUUGCAACUGAUAAAUCGUAAUGAAUGUAACAGCUGAGGCUUGUGUCUGUUUGAAGGGACGAUUGUUGCUUGUUUUUUGAUGCAGUCAGCUGGAGGGAACUAUGGGGAGACAGAAUCCCAUACUUCUACCUGCCCAGAUUUUUUUUUGGCAAACCUGGAGAGGCCAUUGGAAAUCCUAUCAAAACGACAUGAAGGGUCUAAAUACACACACGUGUGCACACACACACAAAUUUAAAAAGAGCAGGAUGGAAAUACCAACCACUAAUAGACAAAGUAAAAUUUAAGCCUCGGGAUUAAAUUGGUUUAUACACCAUCAUUUUGUAUUUCACAAAGGAUUCAGAAUCAGGUUUAAACUAGUGUUUAUUGCAUGGCUACUAUUGCCCGGCAUUGUGCUUGGUGGUGUACGUAUACCCUUUAAUUGGCAAAGACAUAACCGUGCUGUACCUCAUAUGCGUCAAAUUACAUAGUGACUGAACACAUAAAGCAAAGUUUAUACAAAAUAUAUUGACAAACAUAGUCAUACUAACAGAUUUUCACAUAACCUUAUUGGUUUUUGACAGAUAAGGUGAGCCAAAAUUAACACAUGAACCUACGCAAUAUCAUUGAUAAGACUGAAUUCAUUAACAGACAUGUAGAAUUCUGAAUUCUACAGACUGAAAAUACACAUUCGUCUUAAAUGUCCGUGAAACAUGUACAAACACUGGACACGUUGUAGGCCACAAUAAGAGCUUUUAAAAAGCUUUUGAAAGCAUAUAUAUUAGAGGCCACAUUCUUUGUUCACAGUGCAGUAAAUCAGUAAAACUAUUUUUAAAUAAACCUGAUCAGAGUUUCAAAGCACUCUUUAUAAACACUACAAUAUAACAUUUAGACAACAACAAACAGGAACACAAAUUAUCAAAUUAAAAUGUGGCCAAGGCUAUAAUCAGAAGUAUAUUUAUUAUUAAGUAUACUAUUUUGGCAAAUAAUUUUGUAAAAAAAGAUUAUAAAUGAAUUAUUCAACAUAAAAACAGACAAGGUAUAGAAAUAAAAAAUGAGC